UGACCUCAAAUCAGGUAGGAAUACCCACUGAACUU
rnacentral:rRNA from 1 species